rnacentral:misc_RNA from 1 species
AAAGUCGUAACAAGGUUUCCGUAGGUGAACCUGCGGAAGGAUCAUUACUAUUCCGCUAUCCUAUGCCCGUGUGGCUAGGGUACGCGUACGACACCUCUCCAGCAAGGUUUCUCAUUAGACGUUGCUGUGAUUGUGUUAACACCCUUUGUGAAACUUCUCUUUAUGCUUCGGCAGCUCUCUUCCAGAGGUAAGGCUGCCGACAGCACCCUACAAAACUCUUUUAUUAGAAACAUGAUGUCUGAUACUAUAUGUUAAUCAUAUUAAAACUUUCAGCAACGGAUCUCUUGGUUCCC